AGAGAGAAAAGGCUUAUUUCAAUUUUGUGAGUAAGAAGAAGAACAUAUAUACAGAAGAAGAAACAUGGCAAAGACAAGCAACAAAACAACCAUUAUGUUUCUAAACAUGGUUUUGAUACUCUCUCUUCUUCUUGGUGUUGUGAUAAAAAAGGCGGAGUGUGCAGCAAGUUGUGAAACAGUAGUAGGAGUGGAGAGCGGAGAUACAUGCAUAUCCAUUGCUAAGGCUUCCCAAUUGACUACUGAUUUCUUCCUUUCCAUCAAUCCCAAUGUCAACUGCGAAGAGCUCUUUGUGGGUCAGUGGGUUUGUGUUGCUGGUUCCCCUAAUUAAAGUUGCUUAAAAAAAAGCAGCUUUUUCAUAUGGCAACUUUACCAAAUACUUAUGCAU